rnacentral:rRNA from 1 species
CCUACGGGUGGCAGCAGUGGGGAAUAUUGCACAAUGGGGGAAACCCUGAUGCAGCGACGCCGCGUGAGUGAGGAAGUAUUUCGGUAUGUAAAGCUCUAUCAGCAGGGAAGAAAAUGACGGUACCUGACUAAGAAGCUCCGGCUAACUACGUGCCAGCAGCCGCGGGAAUACGUAGGGGGCAAGCGUUAUCCGGAUUUACUGGGUGUAAAGGGAGCGUAGACGGAUAAUCAAGUCAGGAGUGAAAAACCAGGGCUCAAACUUUGGACUGCCUUUGAAACUGAGUAGCUAGAGUGCAGGAGAGGUAAGCGGAAUUCCUGGUGGAGCGGUGAAAUGCGUAGAUAUUAGGAAGAACACC